rnacentral:rRNA from 1 species
CCUACGGGAGGCAGCAGUGGGGAAUUUUGGACAAUGGGCGCAAGCCUGAUCCAGCAAUGCCGCGUGAGUGAAGAAGGCCUUCGGGUUGUAAAGCUCUUUUGUCAGGGAAGAAACGGUGGGGGCUAAUAUCUCCUACUAAUGACGGUACCUGAAGAAUAAGCACCGGCUAACUACGUGCCAGCAGCCGCGGUAAUACGUAGGGUGCAAGCGUUAAUCGGAAUUACUGGGCGUAAAGCGUGCGCAGGCGGUUUUGUAAGUCUGUCGUGAAAGCCCCGGGCUCAACCUGGGAAUUGCGAUGGAGACUGCAAGGCUUGAAUCUGGCAGAGGGGGGUAGAAUUCCACGUGUAGCAGUGAAAUGCGUAGAGAUGUGGAGGAACACCGAUGGCGAAGGCAGCCCCCUGGGUCAAGAUUGACGCUCAUGCACGAAAGCGUGGGGAGCAAACAGGAUUAGAUACCCUGGUAGUCCACGCCCUAAACGAUGUCUACUAGUUGUCGGGUUUUAAUUAACUUGGUAACGCAGCUAACGCGUGAAGUAGACCGCCUGGGGAGUCGGUCGCAAGAUUAAACUCAAAGGAUUGACCGGUNUGAGAGNGCGAGACGACGACGAGGGAGGAGG